rnacentral:rRNA from 1 species
GACGAACGCUGGCGGCGUGCCUAAUACAUGCAAGUAGAACGCUGAAGAGAGGAGCUUGCUCUUCUUGGAUGAGUUGCGAACGGGUGAGUAACGCGUAGGUAACCUGCCUUGUAGCGGUGGAUAACUAUUGGAAACGAUAGCUAAUACCGCAUAACAAUGGAUGACACAUGUCAUUUAUUUGAAAGGGGCAAUUGUUCCACUACAAGAUGGACCUGCGUUGUAUUAGCUAGUAGGUGAGGUAAUGGCUCACCUAGGCGACGAUACAUAGCCGACCUGAGAGGGUGAUCGGCCAAACUGGGACUGAGACACGGCCCAGACUCCUACGGGAGGCAGCAGUAGGGAAUCUUCGGCAAUGGGGGCAACCCUGACCGAGCAACGCCGCGUGAGUGAAGAAGGUUUUCGGAUCGUAAAGCUCUGUUGUAAGUCAAGAACGGGUGUGAGAGUGGAAAGUUCACACUGUGACGGUAGCUUAACAGAAAGGGACGGCUAACUACGUG